rnacentral:rRNA from 1 species
UACGGGGGGAGCAAGCGUUGUUCGGAUUUACUGGGCGUAAAGGGCGCGUAGGCGGUAGCACAAGUCAGUUGUGAAAUCUCCGGGCUUAACUCGGAAAGGUCAACUGAUACUGUGCGACUAGAGUGCAGAAGGGGCAACUGGGAAUUCUCGGUGUAGCGGUGAAAUGCGUAGAUAUCGAGAGGAACACCUGCGGCGAAGGCGGGUUGCUGGGCUGACACUGACGCUGAGGCGCGAAAGCCAGGGGAGCGAACGGG